UUUGACAAAUAAAAAAAAGUGUUAGUAGAUUUUUUCUCCAUUUGACAAAUAAAAAAAAGUGUUAGUAUAUUUUUUCUCCAUUUGACAAAUAAAAAAAAAGUGUUAGUUUAUUUUUUGUUAAUUUGUUAAAUGUGUUAAAUGUGUUAAGUGUGUUAAGUAUGUUAAGUGUGUGAUUUUGUUUGACCAUAUAUUGUGCGGAAGUUGUACUUUUUAAUAAAAAAGUUGUAUUACAAUUGGAAACGAGUCUUAUAUCUUACCGGUUUUAUUUUAUUAUUAUAUUAUAUUAUAUUAUAUUAUAUUAUUUUUUUUUUUUAUUUUUUUUUUUUUUUUUUUUGUGUGUGUCUAGCUUUAUAAACACUUGUAACUAUUUUGUUGGUUGUUCAUUUGUCCAUUUAUCUGUUUUCCCACUCACUUAUAAAACCUGUCCGAGUGUUACAAAAAAUGUGUUACCUUAAGAGAAGCUUAAGUAAGAGCAUAAACUCUUUAGUGAUCCAUUUCGAAUUUGUAAAAUGUAAAAACUUAAAUAAUUAUACAAAAAAAAGGAAGGUACUACUUGAUCAUAUCUUAUGACCAAUUAAUUUUUUACGAAAAGGAUUUUUAUGAAAUACAAUUCAAAAUUUUAUUUUCUGACAUUUCCCAAAUUUAUCAUUGUGAUAAGUCCAACUAUAUACAUAUUAUUUUAAAAAAACGAGCGGUAAUAAAAGUAGAUGAUAUGUUUACAUACGUCCAUAGUUAUUUGUUUUAUUUGUUUGUUUGUUUGUUUGUUUUUGUUUUUGUUUUUGUUUUUGUUUUUGUUUUUGUUUUUGUUCUAUUUUCCCUGUUUACUUACAUCUUCCGUAGGUAACAAACAAUAUAGGGAUAAAGUCAAUAAACAAAAACGUUUUGAUAAAACAUUUAUGUGUUGGUUAUAGCACAUAUUAUAUGUGUCGACUUAACAGGAAUGUAUAUAUGCCUAUAACUAACGAAACAUAUGAAGAAAGAUGUGAACGGACUAAACAAAAAUUUGCAGUUCUCAAACUUGAUCGUUCUAUACAACCAUUUAUAGGGUAUAAGAAAGUCAUAAUUGAUGACUACUAUGUUUUUAUUCAAAAGUCAUUUCAGUGUGAGCACACACAAAAAAAAAAAAAAAAAGUCGUAUAAUUAAACAGUUGUAUAUGUAAUGUGUUUAAGUUUCUACUAAUAUUUAAAAUAUUAUAAAAUACUGUGUUUAAUUUUAAUUACUAUUCAAAUUGAAAUUUGAAAAACAUGACAACAUCAUGGUUUUGAAUAUACAAUUGUUAUUAAACUGGUCUCCUCUUAUUUUUACUUUUUUUUUUUUUUUUUUUUUUUUUUUUUUUUUUAAUUAGGCUUCACGUCUGUUUCAGCAGAAAAUGCUCUUUACAUUGAUCAUCGUAGUAAUUCAUAAAAAUAAGAACCUCAAACUAUUAACUUAAUAACAUUAUUACAAAUCAAAUUAAAUUAGUACAUUUUAAGUACUAAAUUGAACAGUUUGUUACCUGUACGUUCACACACAUAUAUAUAAAUAUAUAUAUACACAUUUUUAUUAUAGACAUUGAAAUAUGCAUAAAAAUAGAUCAUCAAAAAAGUAUGGUUGAGUUUGACCAGGUUACAUAAAAAAAAAAAAAAAAAAAAAAAAAAUACAUGCAUAUAUACUCCUACGCAUAUAGUACUACACAAAUAUGUGACAUGCAUAAUUGUAACAAACUUAUUAAUUGUUCAGACCCCCGAUAGUAACUUUUAUCAGUUAGCUAGGAAACAUCUAAGUUUUUUAACAGUAAUGAAUAAAUAAAAACAACUAUAAAUCUAUAGAAGUAUA
ensembl:lncRNA